GAAGGGUUAGCUUUGGUUAAGGAAUUUUAAAGUCUUUAAAACGGGUAUUUAAUGGAAACCUUGGUGAAGAAGUAAAAAGGACGUUAUGCUACGAAAAUUACAAGUAGGUUCAAACCUGUGAUAUGUAAGUUUCCUACAUGAGUAAACUCAGAGUAAACUCAAAACACAGUGUGAAUUGAAUCAUCUUACUAACACUGAAUAGAAAUCAAACGAGAAGUCGUAAUUAAUGGCGAAUGAAAACGAUUGUAUAAGCUAAAAUAAAAAAUAAAAGUUUAUAAUUUUUAGGCCUGAGAAGGUUUUAGCCCUGUAAUGAACUAAAACUAUUAUUGAUAAGUAAUACGAAUUUAUUUGUAUGAAAAUAGGAGAACCACCUUCUAAGCUUAUGGGCUUCUUUAACCGAUAGUAAACGAGUACCGUGAGGGAAAGGUAAAAAAUUCCGAGAAGGAUUUAAUUGAAAUUAAAUAUUUAUAAGUUUUCGAAGUAAUUAAACAACGAAGUGCCUUUUGCAUAAUGAGUCAGUAAAUUAAUGUAUAUAGCAAGCUUAAGUAUUUAUAUGAAGGCAGACUGAAGUUAUAUACAUUAGACCUGAAACCGAGUGAUCUAACCAUGAGCAGGUUGAAAACUCUUUAAAAAGUUUUUGAGGACCGAACUCACGUAUGUAGCAAAAUACGGAGACGACUUGUGGUUAGGAGCGAAAGACUAAUCAAACUCGGCGAUAGCCGGUUUUUCACGAAAUGUAUUUAAGUACUACGUUAACGAAGUUAAUUUUGGUUAGAGUACAAAAUAAACAAAGGGGUUUAAAAACUUACUAAAUUUAUUUUAACUCCGAAUCAUAAUUAAAUUAACGUUAACAGCCAGUCUUUAAGCGAUAAGGUUUAAAGACAAAAGGAAAACAAUCCAGAUCGAAUACUAAGAUUUCAAAAUUAUAAUUUAGGGAGGAAAAUUUUAAAAGAAUCAAAUGUAAUUUUAGAUAGGCUUAGAAGCAGUCUUUCACUAGAGAAAGCGUUUUAGCUCAGCAUUUUUUCUUUUUGAAAUUUAAAAUGUAUAAAACUUUAAAUUAUAUAUCGAAGUAGCGAAUUAAAUUAUUAAUGGUAGUGAAACGUUCUGUAAUUAUUUUAUAAUUGUAAAAUUAUUAAAUCUUUAUCAGAAGUGCUAAUGCUGACAUGAGUAGCGUAAACUAUGUUAAAAACCAUAGUCACUUUACGUUUAAGGUUUUCAAUGUAAUUUUAAGUCCAUUGAGUUAGUCGGUCCUUAAGAGGUGAAUGAAAAUUGUACUCGAUAGGAAUUAAAUAAUUAAUACUAGUUAUAUGUGACAUCGCGUCAUGAAAGAUAGUUAAGAGAAUACACUGUUGAAUUUUUUGGUAUGAACAAUAUUUUUUACUUUCCAAGAAAAAAUUAUAACUAAAAAACCGUACUUAAACCGACACCGGUAAAUUUAUCGAGAAGAUUAAAGUGAAUGAAAGAAUUAUAUUGAAGGAACUCGGCAAAUUAACUCUGUACGUUCGCAAUAAGGAGAGCCGUAAAAACUCGGCAGCAUGAAAAUGGAAGCAACGACUGGUUACCAAAACCACAGGACCCUGCAAAUUACUAAAAUAAGUAUAGAGUCUGACGCCUGCCCAGUGCUUAAAAACGAUAAACUCAGGUUUCUGCUUGUGUUGUAACUUUAGGUAAACGGCGGUUCUAACUAUAAGAAUCCUUAGGUAGCGAAAUUCCUUGACGGGUAAGUUCCGUCCUGCAUGAAAGGCGUAACGAUUGCUUCACUGUCUCCAAUAUAAACUCAGCGAAAUUACAUAACUCAUGAAAAUGUGAGUUACUUGCAGUAAGACGGAAAGACCCUAGAUCCUUUACUCUAUUUUUAUAUUGUAGAAAUUAAUUAUUAUACAGAAUAAGUGGGAGUUGAUAAACAAAAUGAGAUACCACUUAAUUUUUUAAUAUUCUACUAAUUUUUAAAUUAAAUUAUUACAAAGACCGUAUGAAAAAGAGAGUUUACUUGGGAUGAGUACCUCCUAAAAUGUAACGGAGGUGUACGAAGGUAAACAACAGUUAUUUAGCAAAAUAAUGAAGCGCAUAAUGGUAUAAGUUUGCUUGACAAAUAGAUUGAUAAAUCGAAUUGGGACGCAAGUCGGUCAUAGUGACCCGAUAUUAAAGUGUGGAAUUAAUAUCGUUCAACAGAUAAAAGGAACUCUAGGGAUAACAGAUUCAUCGUGACUGAGAGCUCUUAUUGACGUCACGGUUUGAUACCUCGAUGUCGACUCAUCUUAUCCUGAAAUUGAAGCUGAUUUCAAGGGUCUAGUUGUUCGCUAGUGAAAAAGGUACGUGAGUUGGGUUCAGAACGUCGUGAGACAGUUCGGUCCCUAUCUACUGCAAGGCAAUGAAAAAUAUAAAGUUUAUCUCUAGUACGAGAGGACCGAGAUGUGCUAACCACUGGUGUAUUGAUUGUUGUGCCUGCAGCAUAGUCAAGUAGCUAAGUUAGCUUUUUGUAAAUACUGAAAGAAUCAAUAGUAUGAAAACAACUUUACUAAUUUUUCACGAAUAUUCUAAAAGAUUAUUAGAUAGAUCGGUUUGAAACAAAAACUUAGUAAUAAGUUUUUUACAGAUACGAAUUAUUCAUAAAGAUUUUAACCUAACUUA
rnacentral:rRNA from 1 species